UACGUAGGGGGCAAGCGUUGUCCGGAUUUAUUGGGCGUAAAGAGCGUGUAGGCGGCCACACAGGUCUGCUGUGAAAACUCGAGGCUCAACCCCGAGCUGUCGGUGGAAACCGUGUGGCUAGAGUCCGGAAGAGGAGAGUGGAAUUCCCGGUGUAGCGGUGAAAUGCGCAGAUAUCGGGAAGAACACCCGUGGCGAAGGCGGCUCUCUGGGACGGUACUGACGCUGAGACGCGAAAGCGUGGGGAGCGAACAGG
rnacentral:rRNA from 1 species